GGAACAUUGCAGGUCCCGGGACUGCAGUGCUACUCCUCCCUUCCCACACACACCAUGCUAGGUAGGGGAUGACACCUGGUGCAGAGGCAUACACAAAACACCAUCCUGAGCUGCAUUCUGGAGAUUAUUCCUGAGAGUCUAUCCAUGCUGAUGGAGAAAUGGGGCUAGGUGGGAAGGUUCAUUUAUUUGCUCCUGGUCUCUAUGCUCUCUGAUGGUAAACCAGGUUGUCACAUGUCUGAGCUGAAAACAAAGGGCAUAAAGGAAAGCAAGUUCCUUCUAGAAAGCAACUGAAAGCCAGGUGCUGCUGGCUGGUGCCUGUCAU